ACCCUUCGGGGUUAGUGGCGGACGGGUGAGUAACACGUGGGAACGUGCCUUUAGGUUCGGAAUAGCUCCUGGAAACGGGUGGUAAUGCCGAAUGUGCCCUUAGGGGGAAAGAUUUAUCGCCUUUAGAGCGGCCCGCGUCUGAUUAGCUAGUUGGUGAGGUAAUGGCUCACCAAGGCUACGAUCAGUAGCUGGUCUGAGAGGAUGACCAGCCACAUUGGGACUGAGACACGGCCCAAACUCCUACGGGAGGCAGCAGUGGGGAAUCUUGCGCAAUGGGCGAAAGCCUGACGCAGCCAUGCCGCGUGAAUGAUGAAGGUCUUAGGAUUGUAAAAUUCUUUCACCGGGGACGAUAAUGACGGUACCCGGAGAAGAAGCCCCGGCUAACUUCGUGCCAGCAGCCGCGGUAAUACGAAGGGGGCUAGCGUUGCUCGGAAUUACUGGGCGUAAAGGGAGCGUAGGCGGACAUUUAAGUCAGAGGUGAAAUCCCGGGGCUCAACCUCGGAACUGCCUUUGAUACUGGAUGUCUUGAGUGUGAGAGAGGUAUGUGGAACUCCGAGUGUAGAGGUGAAAUUCGUAGAUAUUCGGAAGAACACCAGUGGCGAAGGCGACAUACUGGCUCAUUACUGACGCUGAGGCUCGAAAGCGUGGGGAGCAAACAGGAUUAGAUACCCUGGUAGUCCACGCCGUAAACGAUGAUUGC
rnacentral:rRNA from 1 species